rnacentral:rRNA from 1 species
AUGAAGAGAGUUCAUGCCAAUGGACCCAAUGCAGAAUACAUAGUGAUCAAACCCAGAGAUACAACAAUGAAUAAAACUCACCCACAUCGACAUGGCACGCACGAAGAUAAUGACAUUCUGUCAGGCAAACAGAAGCAUCAUCUUGAAAAUGAGGGCUGCAAUAAACUCUCAUAUCAAGCACCAUCAUCACCAGCCCAUCCUGUUUUCGAUCCUAUUUUUUAUGGAGAGAUGAGAAAGAGCAGGGAGAAUAUGGAUGGAAAUUUGACUAGAGUACACAAACAAAGCACUCAAGACAAGUCUGUAGUCCAUGUGUCCUCUAAGCAGAAACGUAGUCCUUCCAUGGAGGUUGGCACAAAAGUGAUUCUGAAGUCCUCAGUAUAUCCAAACAAAAGGCAUGUGGCACAUGCUAGCAUUUUGGGUUGCAAUUAA